GAAGAUAUUCUCAAAAAUAAACUCGGAGACAAAUCAGGAAGAACUUUUUAAAGCUGCAAAGCACAUUUCAAUAAUGUUUAGAUUGAAGAGUACAUUUAAUCUCUGAGUAUGCUAACUAGAAGAAAAAAAAGCCUUUAACUCUCGCCCAUUGAAGCAGCCCAAGCCCCAAUUAAUUCAUCUGAUCGCAUCACGCGCACGCUCCUCACGUGCUCUGAAAUGCUCUGAAAUUUAUGAGACUAAUUGUUUAUUGAACAACCAAAGCAAAGUCGAAGUCACUCGACUGGAAGAUACCCCGUUUAGCAAUUUGAAUACACUUUUUAUAAUUUACGAAAUGAAUAACAAAAUCUGAGCAAGUA